rnacentral:tRNA from 1 species
UCCCUGAUGGCUCAGAUGGUAAAGAAUCUGCCUGCAAUGCAGGAGACCUAGGUUCGAUCCCUGUUCUGGAAG